rnacentral:misc_RNA from 1 species
UCUCCGUAGGUGAACCUGCGGAGGGAUCAUUACUGAGUGAGGGUUUAACCGCCCGACCUCCAACCCCAUGUGAACCGAAACCUGUUGCUUCGGGGGCGACCCUGCCUUCGUGCGAGGCGCCCCCGGAGGCUCAUCAAACACUGCAUCUCUGCGUCGGAGUAUUAGUAAAUCUAAUCAAAACUUUCAACAACGGAUCUCUUGGUUCUGGCAUCGAUGAAGAACGCAGC